GACGAACGCUGGCGGCGUGCUUAACACAUGCAAGUCGAACGAAGUGGCGAACGGGUGAGUAACGCGUAAUCAACCUGCCCUUCAGAGGGGGACAACAGUUGGAAACGACUGCUAAUACCGCAUCAUCCCGGAGGUGAUUGCGUCUGAUUAGCUAGUUGGAGUGGUAACGGCCCACCAAGGCGAUGAUCAGUAGCCGGGUUGGGAGGAUGAACGGCCACAUUGGGACGGAGACACGGCCCAGACUCCUACGGGAGGCAGCAGUGGGGAAUCUGCCGCAAUGGACGAAAGUCUGACGGAGCAACGCCGCGUGAGUGAUGACGGCCUUCGGGUUGGAAAGCUCUGUUAAUCGGGACGCGGUACCGGAAUAGAAAGCCACGGCUAACUACGUGCCAGCAGCCGCGGUAAUUC
rnacentral:rRNA from 1 species